UGGGAGGAGGAGGAGGAGGAGGAGAGGAGAGGGAUGGGAGGAAAACAGGCAGUCGGGAGGCAAACCCCACGCUGGAGCUGUGUUUUUGGGAGGAGAGCUUCGCAGCGCCUACACCUCUCUCUCUCUCUCUCUCUCUCUCUCUCUCUCUGGUGUCUCGGCUCUUCUUCUUUUCUUUUUUUGCUCUCUGGUCUUGACAAAAAAACAGGAUCUAGCAGCUGCUGUGUUACUCGUGAUUGAUCCUCUGAGCCUUUUCUGGUGCAGAUAUACCUGGAUUCCAAUGGUCAUGGUCAAAGAAAAAGUGGCUCAUGCGCAGGACACACACCACCACUCCACAGAGAAGCCCCUGAUUCAGUGCUACAAGUGCGGGGAGCCAUGUAAGGCGAAGUGCUGCGGGUGCAGAACAAGCACUUUCACCUUAAGUGCUUCACCUGUAAAGUGUGUGGCUGUGACCUCGCCCAGGGGGCUUCUUCAUGAAGAAUGGAGAAUAUCUGUGCACGCUGGACUACCAACGAAUGCACGGCACCCGCUGCAAUGGCUGCGGGGACUUUGUUGAGGGAGAAGUGGUCACUGCCCUGGGCAAGACUUACCACCCAGCCUGCUUCGUCUGCACCAUCUGCAAACGACCGUUCCCUGCCGGGGACAGGGUGACCUUUAACGGGAAGGACUGCCUGUGUCAGUACUGUGUCGAGCCCAUGUCUCCAGGACCAAAGGACAUCCUGGGUUCCAGCAACUGUGCCGGAUGUGGCCGAGACAUUAAGAACGGACAGGCUCUUCUUGCCUUGGACAGACAGUGGCACCUGGGCUGCUUCAAGUGUAAGGCCUGCAGCAAAGUGCUGACCGGGGAGUACAUCAGCAAGGAUGGCGCCCCCUACUGUGAGAAGGACUACCAGAUCCAUUUUGGAGUUCAGUGUGAGGCGUGUCAUCAGUUCAUCACAGGGAAGGUGCUAGAGGCAGGAGAUAAGCACUACCACCCCAGCUGUGCGAGAUGCAGCAGGUGCAAUCAGAUGUUCACAGAAGGAGAAGAGAUGUAUCUGCAAGGAUCAACAGUGUGGCAUCCCGGCUGCAAGAAUACCACUAGAACAGAGGAGAGACACAGGGAGCGGCUAUUGCCUCCGUCCCUCUUAUUCCUCCAAAAAACAGAAAGGCAGCCUACGAGGUCGUCGUCCGAGAGUAUUUGUUCCAGACCUGGUUCAAGCAUACCUGGCUCACCGGGUCACACGAUCUAUGCAAAAGUAGACAAUGAGAUCCUUGAUUACAGAGACCUAGCUGCAAUUCCAAAAGUCAAAGCCAUUUAUGACAUUGAGCGCCCCGAUCUUAUUACCUAUGAACCCAUGUACUCCACCUCCCUGGAUGAGAGAGAGGAGAGACGAGAGAGUGUGGGAGAGCUCCACACUGCCAGGAGGGAACGUUCCCCUUUGCCUGAUGACAAGUCCUCAAGAAACAUGUCGCCAACCCCACCCAGUGAGGGCUCUUACGACAGGAGGGAACGCAUCCUUCAAAGAUCCACCAGUCAGGGCUCCAUAGGAUCACCAGUUUAUAAUCGCCAUGGUUACACUCCCACCUUGUCACGGUCACCACAGCAUUUUCACAGGCCAGAGGCUCUGACAGGCAUGCAGAAGCUCUGCUCCUCCCUGUGCAGUAACAGUGUGGGCUCCAGAAAUAGUGACUCCCGCCCCACCUCCCCUUUCAGACACCACUUCCUCCCCCAUAGCCAAGGCACUGACCCGCCAAGUGGCCGGAGCUCCCCCCUCCCGCUCAGGCCCGACAGCCGGCCGGUCACCCCGCCUCUCUCUCAGACCCCUAAACAUUUCCACCUCCCAGAUCAGGGGAGCAACAUCUACAGAAAACCACCCAUCUACAAACAACACGGUUCAGAAGGAAGGAGACGGUCUAGAGAAGAGGAGGAGGAAGAGGCCUUGAAAAGAAAGCAGCUGCAGGAGGAACAUCUCAGUAAGAUUCAGUCUGGUUUGGGGAAACUGAUUCUGAAGGAGGAGAUGGAAAAAGAGCAGAUCAGGGAGCGUCACGCACGCAGCCUCUCUGCUCAGCGCUACGAUCCUAAACAGACCAACUGUGACGCAGAUCCCACCUCUCCAACCAAAACUAACUCUCUGCCUGGCUAUGGGAGGAAUGGGCUGCAUCGGCCUCAGUCAACCGAUUUCACUCAGUACAACAGCUACGGUGACAUGUGUGGAGGGGGCAGAGGUGUAUCCCUAUGAAAUGCUCAUGAUAACCAGUAGAGGGAGAGCUAAACUGCCCAGGGAUGUGGACAGAACCAGACUGGAGCGCCACUUAGCACCUGAAACGUUCUUUGACAUCUUUGGAAUGGAGAUCCAGGAGUUUGACAGGCUUCCCCUGUGGAAACGCAACGACAUGAAAAAGAAGGCCAAGCUCUUCUAGCACUCAGAGCAGCAUGCAUAUUCUGUACAUUCAUUCAGAUAGCACACGACAACUGUAAUCUAGAUGUAGGUUUUUGGUUCAUUUCCUUUCUUCUUCUGUUUUUUUUCCUGGUUUUGUUUUAUCCUGACAUAAUCAAGGAAGCCAUGAAAUGGACUCUGCUCUGACGCUUCCUGAGACUAUGAACUGAAAGAUUUGUCCAGUUAGACUUGCACAGAAUGGGAAUCUCUUCCAUGUUCAAAAAUGACAAAGAAUGAAUGAUAAAUAGGGUCAUGUUAUUUGGUUUGACUGCGCUCGUUUUACUUCUUGCUUUGCUUUGAGUGGAACUGCUUUCCUUUCUUUCUUGCUUGUUUCUUCCUACUAUUUGUUGCUGUUGAUUCCUGUGGAACUUUGUAAGUACAGUAGAACCUCAUGGCGCCAUUAUGAAAUGUCCAUGCUUGUAGCUUGAACAUGUGUCAGCUUUCCUUCGCUUGGGCUGAAACUGUUUUGGUCCAAAGUUUGCAAGAAUUGGCUCAGUGAGUCUUUGAAUAAAAAAAAUAAAUAAAAAUAAACAUCAUUGGGAAGGCAGUCAGCUGACCCACCAACUGUUUUACAUUGAAAUAUACAUGGAAAUUAAUCAUCCAAGCACCUACAUAUCACCACUGUCCUGCCCUUGGCUACUGCACACACAGAGCAAUCAUCUGACCCUGACAAAAAAAAAUGUCUCUCUUCUCAGGCUCUCAUAAACAUGGCCAAACACUCUCCCUUUACAUGUAUUGGAAGUACAAAUCUUAAUAUAUUUUAAUGCCGUAUCCAACGUAAAGUAACAGACAAAUAUCUAAAACCCCUAAUGUAAGAAGCAACUGUAUUUGAAAGUACUGUUUUAUAAAUGAAAACCCACACUGCCAUUUGUUGUAUUGAAAUCUAAGCCAAUAAAGCUUUAAAUCACCAUGAA